CGGAAGUUACUAGGGCGUAAAGCGCAUGCAGGUGGUUUGUUAAGUCAGAUGUGAAAGCCCCGGGGACUCAACCUUCGGAAUUGCAUUUGAAACUGGCAAACUAGAGUACUGUAGAGGGGGUAGAAUUUCAGGUGUAGCGGUAGAAAUGCGUAGAGAUCUGAAGGAAUACCGGUGGCGAAGGCGGCCCCCCUGGACAGAUACUGACACUCAGAUGACGAAAGCGGUGGGGAGACAAACAGGAUUAGACUACCCUGGUAG
rnacentral:rRNA from 1 species